ACAUCAACAAAAAUCAUCACGAAACGAAAUCUUAUUUUCUUGUAAAAAUACUAAGAUUUUUGUGAAAAUUUAGUGAAUUCUGGUCCACUAAAAGAAUGGCCCAACAGCCGUUGGAUUUCCUAAAGGAUUACAAUGAACCGGAGGAAACGAAAGCAAAAGUAGCGGCUGCUUUUAUCGCACCGCCCGCACCACAAUCACAAUCACAAAGCUCAGAUGCGAGCGAGUCGAACCCGAAGGGAAGGAAAAUCUUACGCCGCAAGAAACGCGUCGAAGUCACCAAACGGGAGCAACAUCGGGCCCAAGUGCAGGAACGCCGCCGGCAAGGCCGGCAGGUGAUCGAAGUGGAAUGCAACUGCCAUCUGUCCUGCCCGAAGCGGAUCAACCCGGAACACCGCCGGGCACUGAACGCCAAGUACUGGGAGAUGGAUCCGCUGCAGCAACGGGUGUACGUUAAAACCCACACCGUUCCGGGUCCGGUUAAACGGCGACGGGUUCCGGCCGAUCCACUCGGGGGGCUGCAGGAGGUGAAGAAGGCGUUCUCUUAUGCGUUCUAUCUGCCGAACGAGCUCGGUGAGCUGAUGAUGGUGUGCUGUACGUUUUUCCUGAAUACUCUCGGCUUCCGGAAGGGAUGUGGAAAUCAUAUAUAUCGCGCGCACACGAGAGAUACCCUUGCGGACAAGCGUGGCAAGUACGAACGAGACCGGUCCCUAAGAGAUGCUGUUUGGGACGAUAUUCUAUCCUAUUCGCCCAGGACAUAUCACAAAGGAUCCAAAUUCAGCGCCACCGCUAUGUACUUACCAACGAAGCUGACGGCCAAGGCAAUGCAUGCUGAUUUCAAGGCAAGAAGAGACGCUGUUGGUGAGAAGGGGUGUAGUGCAAGCUUUUACUGUGCUGUGCUUCGUGAAAUCGAUGUCCAUUUUGUCGAUAUGGAUGAUUUUGAGAUUCCGGAGCGAAAACCUAUUCCGGUGGUGCAGCCCAAACCACCAAGGACGCCCCCACCGGAACCGAUGCCAGAACCGGAUCCGGUCCCUAAGCCUGUGGAAGUUGUUGAAGUUGAACCGUGCAUUGCAAUGAAAACGGAUGAUUCCCAGCCGGAAUGCUCUUAUCCAGCAUCACUGCCAAUGUAUCAAUCUGUACAACCCGUUGCUGUUGUGACGCAUCAACCCAUGAUGAUGCACUCGUACUCGAUCGAUCAGAAGCCAAUUGUGCCCCAGUAUGUUCCGGUAUCGUACCAUUCGGCUACUAUUCCUUUCCAGACGGUGGCUGUGAAGCAAGAGCCUUACUACGGAAUCAACGUUGAAUCAGCCAGUGUAUCUGAUUCGCAUUUCUCCGAAGAUCAUGCUGAAUACUCGAAUAUGACCGUGGACUAUUCCGAAUCGAACUCUUACCAUGAGCCACCAUAUGAACCGGUCGUUCAAAUCAUCGAUAAGGUAGAACCUAACGCAGAGUUCUUCCCGUCUUUUGUGAAACCUGACCAGCACUCAAUCCCACAAAUCAGUCAAACAGAAUCUUCCCUCAAAGCCCCCUCGGAAGUUCCAAAACCAAAGCGCAAACCAACUAAACCUAAACUAAUAGACCUACCUAAACUGGACUUGGACAUUUCGGAGGGCUAUCCACCGGUGAAACGCACGAAAAAGUUCAUCACCAGAAUUCGCAAUCGAGUCAAGCGACAGCAGCUUCAUCCGGUGGUGAACCAAGGCUGUAAUGCUUGCCACAUGAACUGUAAGGACAAAAUAUCCCUGGAACAGCAGGAGCAGAUCAACAAGCGGUACUGGACAAUGUCCUUCCCCGAGCAGCGGAUGUUCAUGCUGGAGCACACCGAACGCCAUGCAAUCAAACGGCGACGAUCGAAAACCGAACUCGGCUCGACAGUCCGGAAGGGAUUCACCUAUUCAUAUCGGCUAACGGAUUUCCUGGGCCAGUACCAGCAAGUGUGCUGUCAGUUUUAUCUCAACACGCUCGGAUACGGGGCCGGAAGUGGGAACCUCAUUUACCGAGCUCAUCAAGUUGAACUGAGCAGAGCAAUUAGCGACAAUCGUGGCAAAUUUACCAGGGAUACGACUCUGCGAGACACUGUGGACGACGACAUCAUGUCGUACUUCAGCGCGGAAUUGCACGAGAGUGGUGGACCAUUGGACCUUUCAGCUACUGAUUUAUCACCGAAGAAGAUGUACAAUAGGUACGUGGAGCGACAGGCCGCACUGGGCAUCGACAAACCGGGCAGUUUCGCGUUCUACUGGCGGCGUACAAGGGAAUUGAAAGUGAUCUAUGCUCCCAAACCGGAACCGAAAAACCCUGGCCAAUCGAAACCACGCCGGCGACGUCCUGCAGUGAAAGUCUUGAAGCAGCUGGAGAUAGAAACGCUGGUUUUACCUGGCCAAUUUCCAGCCGUUUCGCAAGAGGCGUCUAUGGAUCAUUAGUCAUGAUUCAUUCGGAGAGAAUGCUUGCAACCAUUCUGCAAUAAUAUUAUUGUUAAAAGUAUUUAUUUUAUCAUAUCUAGAAGUAAUCAAGGAUGUACGAGACAUACUCGGCGUACUAAUAAAAAUGUAUGUUCUCACAAAUAAAAAUAAAUUCCCAA